rnacentral:ncRNA from 12 species
GGGUCCGGAAACGCAUGGCGCUUCCGGAGGAAUGGAUGGUCGGGCCGCCAUCU